GAGAGAUGAGGAGAGAGCUGUUGAGUGAGGGAGCCAAGAGGAAGCAAAACGGAGUGAGAGCUGAGUGGAAGAGAGAAAAAGAGGAAAGGAAGAGGGCGACUAAAGAAGAGGGAAAAAAAAAGGAAAGAGUCAUAAUCGGGAGAGAACGAGAAGAAGAGUGCGUAAUUGACGCUGAAAGAAGGAGGAAGGAAAGGAAUCGGGCCAAGGAGCACCGUGUGACGGUGAAAACCGAAGCAAGGUAAAAAUUUUGUCUUUUUCAUCUUUUCAUCUCUAUUUUCCUUCAAUCCUUUUUCUAUUUCACAUUAACCAGUUUGUAGGUGUGAAGUCCAUUAUCCAAAUCUCAAGCAAGUAAGGAGAGUCGGGGGGUAGCCGAGAAGACCAUACAGAGUUGGACCCGAUGCCGAAUCACACCACGUCGGCGCAAGUAAGCUUUUUUGUGAUUGAUUGGCUGUUAGGGCGACGGAGGCGGGCGGUCGGUGUCGGGCUAGCCGCACGAGCUCGACUAGUCACCCACCACUCGGGAAACCGAAGAGUCUUUCUCGAGUACGAAACCCAGUAUUUUUGGGUUUGAGAAUCAGAAUCAUAAGGGAGCAUAUUACUCACCCUUACACGGUGAGUCAGGCAUCCCGUUAGGUUGUCAUUGGAACCCAUGAUUUCGAUUGAAUUUAGCUUCUAUUUAGUGUUUGAAUUGCAUUAAUUAAUCCGUGUAGUGUGUGUAUAGUGAAUUAGGACGUUUAAGCGGNN
rnacentral:lncRNA from 1 species